UGAGGUUGUGGCUCAGUGGUAGAGCACUCACUUAGCAAGUGCAAAGCCCUGGGUUCAAUCCUCUGCACCACAA
rnacentral:tRNA from 1 species